rnacentral:rRNA from 1 species
AUUGAACGCUGGCGGCAGGCCUAACACAUGCAAGUCGAACGAGUGGCGGACGGGUGAGUAAUGUCUGGGAAACUGCCCGAUGGAGGGGGAUAACUACUGGAAACGGUAGCUAAUACCGCAUACUAUCAGAUGUGCCCAGAUGGGAUUAGCUAGUUGGUGGGGUAACGGCUCACCAAGGCGACGAUCCCUAGCUGGUCUGAGAGGAAGACCAGCCACACUGGGACUGAGACACGGUCCAGACUCCUACGGGAGGCAGCAGUGGGGAAUAUUGGACAAUGGGGGCAAGCCUGAUGCAGCCAUGCCGCGUGUAUGAAGAAGGCCUUCGGGUUGUAAAGUACUUUCAGCGGGGAGGCGUUACCCGCAGAAGAAGCACCGGCUAACUCCGUGCCAGCAGCCGCGGUAAUAC